rnacentral:rRNA from 1 species
UGAGGAAUAUUGGUCAAUGGGCGCAAGCCUGAACCAGCCAUCCCGCGUGAAGGAAGAAGGCGCUAUGCGUUGUAAACUUCUUUUCCAGGGGAAUAAAAUUUUGUACGUGUACGGAAUUGAAGGUACCCUGGGAAUAAGCAUCGGCUAACUCCGUGCCAGCAGCCGCGGUAAUACGGAGGAUGCAAGCGUUAUCCGGAUUUAUUGGGUUUAAAGGGUGCGCAGGCGGAAUAGUAAGUCAGUGGUGAAAACCUGCAGCUUAACUGUAGAAUUGCCAUUGAUACUGUUAUUCUUGAGUAUGGUCAAGGUAGGCGGAAUGUGUAAUGUAGCGGUGAAAUGCUUAGAUAUUACACAGAACACCGAUUGCGAAGGCAGCUUACUGGGCCAUUACUGACGCUCAUGCACGAAAGCGUGGGGAUCGAACAGG